rnacentral:rRNA from 1 species
AGAGUUUGAUCAUGGCUCAGAACGUACGCUGGCGGCACGCCUAACACAUGCAAGUCGAACGAAGUAGCAAUACUUAGUGGCAGACGGGUGAGUAACAUGUAGGUAUCUGCCCUUUGGCCUGGAAUAACACGAGGAAACUUGUGCUAAUACCGGAUAAGUCUUUACGGAGAAAGCUUUAUGCACCAUUGGAUGAGCCUGCACUUGAUUAGUUUGUUGGUGGGGUAAUGGCCUACCAAGACUGUGAUCAAUAGCUGAUUUGAGAGGAUGAUCAGCCACAUUGGGACUGAGACACGGCCCAAACUCCUACGGGAGGCAGCAGUGGGGAAUCUUGCACAAUGGAGGAAACUCUGAUGCAGCGAUGCCGCGUGAGUGAAGAAGGCCUUUGGGUUGUAAAGCUCUUUCGUCGGGGAAGAAAAUGACUGUACCCGAAUAAGAAGGUCCGGCUAACUUCGUGCCAGCAGCCGCGGUAAUACGAAGGGACCUAGCGUAGUUCGGAAUUACUGGGCUUAAAGAGUUCGUAGGUGGUUGAAAAAGUUGGUGGUGAAAUCCCAGAGCUUAACUCUGGAACUGCCAUCAAAACUUUUCAGCUAGAGUAUGAUAGAGGAAAGCAGAAUUUCUAGUGUAGAGGUGAAAUUCGUAGAUAUUAGAAAGAAUACCAAUUGCGAAGGCAGCUUUCUGGAUCAUUACUGACACUGAGGAACGAAAGCAUGGGUAGCGAAGAGGAUUAGAUACCCUCGUAGUCCAUGCCGUAAACGAUGUGUGUUAGACGUUGGAAAUUUAUUUUCAGUGUCGCAGCGAAAGCGAUAAACACACCGCCUGGGGAGUACGACCGCAAGGUUAAAACUCAAAUGAAUUGACGGGGACCCGCACAAGCAGUGGAGCAUGUGGUUUAAUUCGAAGAUACGCGCAGAACCUUACCAACACUUGACAUGUUCGUCGCGACUCUAAGAGAUUAGAGUUUUCGGUUCGGCCGGACGAAACACAGGUGCUGCAUGGCUGUCGUCAGCUCGUGUCGUGAGAUGUUGGGUUAAGUCCC